UACGUAGGGUGCGAGCGUUAAUCGGAAUUACUGGGCGUAAAGCGUGCGCAGGCGGUUGUGUAAGACAGUUGUGAAAUCCCCGGGCUCAACCUGGGAAUUGCAUCUGUGACUGCACAGCUAGAGUACGGUAGAGGGGGAUGGAAUUCCGCGUGUAGCAGUGAAAUGCGUAGAUAUGCGGAGGAACACCGAUGGCGAAGGCAAUCCCCUGGACCUGUACUGACGCUCAUGCACGAAAGCGUGGGGAGCAAACAGGAUUAGAUACCCUGGUAGUCCACGCCCUAAACGAUGUCAACUGGUUGUUGGGUGCAUUAGUACUCAGUAACGAAGCUAACGCGUGAAGUUGACCGCCUGGGGAGUACGGCCGCAAGGUUGAA
rnacentral:rRNA from 1 species